UACAGAGGGUGCAAACGUUGUUCGGAUUUACUGGGCGUAAAGCGCGUGUAGGCGGCCCGGUAAGUCCGCUGUGAAAGUCCAGGGCUCAACCCUGGGAUGCCGGUGGAUACUGUCGGGCUCGAGUCCGGAAGAGGCGAGUGGAAUUCCUGGUGUAGCGGUGAAAUGCGCAGAUAUCAGGAGGAACACCAAUGGCGAAGGCAGCUCGCUGGGACGUGACUGACGCUGAGACGCGAAAGCGUGGGGAGCAAACAGG
rnacentral:rRNA from 1 species